rnacentral:tRNA from 3 species
GGAGCGGUGGCUGAGUGGUCGAAAGCGCCGGUUUGCUAAAUCGGUGAACCGGGAAACUGGUUCCGCAGGUUCGAAUCCUGUCCGCUCCGC